AUGAUAGUGUAAUGGGUAGCACAUUCGCCUUGCACUGUCAAAGACCUGGGUUCAAAUCCCGGUAAAAAUG